AGUUUCUGAUAGAGGAUCAGACCACCGUAUUAAUAAAUUUCGGAAUAACAUUGUUCCCUUCGCUAAAGAUAUGAGUAAAAUACACUUCUAUCUUCUCUUUGAUCAAUGAGCAGUUUUUCCAUUAAUUGAUCAAAGACCAAAAGGGGAGGAAGCCUAUCAUUGUGUAAAUGAAGAAUAUUGAGCAUUUAAUCAAACUCAAUCCAAACUCAAAAGUCUGAAACCAUCAAUGCUAAUCAUGAUAUCAUCAAACAGGGAAGCUGAAACGGGCUUUCACACUCAAAAAAGAACCUCCCAAGCGAAGAGAGAAAAUUAGGGAGGAAUGUGUAUACACACACACACACAUAUAUAUAUAAAUACACACCUGGCCAUAUAGUUCCUUUGCCCUGACAAAAAUAAGAGAGAACACCUUUAAUCAUGAUGAUUCUCUUUAAGAAAGAUGGAUUUAUUAGUAUUUUGAAACUUGGGGUGUAAGUAGAACCACUUCUGAUGAACUAUGUAUAUACCGAGAUAAAAUAUGGAUCCCAUGGGGCUUCUAUUUGCACUCUUUUAUUUUUCUGUUAAAACCCCUCUUCUAAAUAAGCCUAAUUAAACAAUUAAAAAUGCACAUUAUUUUUAUUGACAAUUAUUUUAAUUGCACUUAAAUAACCCUUAUAUAUGUAUUCUUCCCGAACACACCCCUUCUCAAACUAAACAAGUUUUUCUAGAAUUAUUCCUUUUAUUCAAAAUAAUUAACGGCUAGGGGCUCUUAGGAUUGAUGUAUUGUUUUCUAAAGAUUAGUUUCAUUUUGAUAAAUUUAGUUGGAUGAGUUUGUAACAAGCCUUUUACAGAGAGUUUGUGCUAUAGCCGGCCAGUCCCAAUAAGGUUCUGUCUUUGUUCUUGGAGAAUUUGAGAUUCCUUUAUAAUUUCCUUUUAAUGCCAUCGAUAAUAAUAAUUUAUACAUAGUGAUUCAUUGUGGUACAUAUUGAAUAAUAAUUUACCAAGUAAAUAUAAAAUGAAUUAAUUGAAAAAUAAAUAGUUUUAAUAAAUAUAAUUAUAUUAAAGUUCCCAAAAAAGUAAAAAUAGUUCACCUUAAAUAGUAAACAUGAAAUAAGAAAAUGAAAAAAAAAAUUUUUUAACUUUCCAAUGCUAAUAAUGUCUUUUAAUUUCAAGCCACAGACUUCACACAAGACUCAAAAAAUAUCAAGGCCAAAACUUUCUAUCCACAAUUUUUAGUCAAUGUAUACAGCUAGUCAACUCAAAAGUAAAUCGAUAAUUUUAAAAAAAAAACAUACUUUAGUCAUUUAAUUUUCCUUUGUACUAAAGGUAUAUGGUUGAUGUUCCAAAAUAAUUUGAAGAAAAAGAAGCUUCCUAAUUAAUUAACUUAUAGUCGCAUUAUAAACACCAAGAAAGAAUAUGUGUGUGUGUAAUCUUAAAGGAGUUUUUUUUUUUUUUUUCUUUUAAUCAUAUAUAUGUGAACUUAUAUUAGCUCCAUGCCUAACCAAAAAAAAAAAUGAUAGAAAGCACAAAUAUAUGUAAAUUAACAAACCUCUGAUUGUGGGAGAGACAGACUGCAUAUUGCAUAAUCCUCCAGUUGUAAAGAAUGAGAAGAGGAAUGGUUGUGGUGGCGGAGAUGGUUUCCAUGUUUACUUAUUGCCGUGCCUUCUCAAUAAGGAUAACUAUCGAUAGCAUAUGCACAUAUAUUAUACAAUGAUUCAGUAUGGCCUGGCCCCAUGCAGUAGACUUAUCGUAUAUGAGGUCUUGGGCAAUAUUAUUGGUCUUUUUAGAUUGUGUACGUUUCCUUUCUAAGGUGGCAAUUUAGACUGCGUGUCACUCCCUUAUUGGUACAUAUGCAAAUUGUAGUUUCAGAAACAUUUAGAUAAAUUAUAGCUUUGAGACUAAAAUAACUCUACUAAUUUCGACGGCGUUUUACUCUUUGACUGGUACAUAGUAAAUUGCAGCUUUAGAAAAAUUUAGAUAAAUUAUAGCAAUUUAAACAAUACUAAAACAACUCUACUAAUUUCGACGGCAUUUUACUCUACUAAGUCUGUUAUAUACAGAUAUUACUAAUAUUACAUCAGAUAUUACAAUUAAUAUUUACAAUCAUACUAUAUAAUUGGGACUACCGUCAUACAUUGACACACUGAAGUACAUGUUCAGAUAUUUUAAAUUCUCUCUAAUAUUCGAGGGGUGUCUAUUCCACGUCUCCACUCAAUUAUGUUGAUAAUUGAGGGAGUACUUAAAUUAACCCCCAUAAAACUUUUAUGGAGGCUCGAAUCUUUACACUCAAUAUUAUAAGUGUAAGAUUUCUCUCAUUAAAUCAAAGAUCCAUUAAUACUUUUUGACGGUGUUUAAUGAACUGUGUUGAUGCGAAUUUUAAGAACUGAACGUUUUUGUUAUUAAAGUGUUAUUUCGUUAUAUAAUAUUACGCGCAAGAAUUUUGCUUGUGAUUCACAUGUAGAGAAAGUGAGUUUUCCACACAAAAGGAUAAAAACUGCAGCAACAAAGGGGACCAGCGACUUUGCACAAGUCCACAAUCGUGGGGCGCUCAUCACGUGCUUGCUCAUUAUUGAAUUUCCUACCCCUUCUCUCUCUCUCUUUCGCUUUAUUUUCUUUUUUCAUAUUUUUUUAUCUUUUUUUUCCCCCAAUCUGGGAUCCAAAUAAUUUCUCAUCUCUUUGAGUAUAUUUUUUAUUUUAUACUCAGUUACAUUCCCAGAAGCUCAGUUGAAUAGAAGCUACAUGCAGAAAAGAGAGAACAGACAUUAAACAUGGCCGCCGCCGCCGCUCGUCAUUUGUAGGUAUGUUUGUGCAGUGUGUGCGCGUAUAUACAUAUAUAUUUCUUUCUUUGUUAUAAAAAAAAAAAGGCUUUAUCGAUUUAUGUCUUAUUAUUAUUAUUAUUAUUAUUAACUGUAUUAACAGCCUCGACAAGGGAGGGAAAUUUAAAAAACAAAUUACGCAGAUGGUAAUUUUAUGGUCGUCAUUUUAUUUUUUUGAGUGUUGUAUUUUUAAGAUAUACACUACCUUUUAACAAAUCUUGGGGAAAAUGAUUAUACACCCUGCCGUGGGUCAAAGUUAUUCAAUCCCCCCACACAACUCAUCUAAAUAUAAAUUUAUUAGAUGUUAGUUUAUUACUACAUUUUUUUUUAUAAAAUAUAAAUUUUAUUAGCUUUCAAUAUUAACGAUUUUAGGAAAUUGUAAUAAAUAAAAAAGAUAUUUUUUAACCACAAAACACAUUAUUAAUAGCUUUGAUCUUAUAACAUAUUACCAAAUUAUUAAUAUGUUAUAUAAUUUUUUAAUUUAAAAAUUAAAAUUACAAAUCCAUGGUUAUUUACAUCCAUAUGAAUAAAACUCAUAUCUAUAUCCGGCUAAAGCUAGAUAUAGAUCCGGAUAUUAUCAAUAACAAUGAAUUAGCAAUAUGGACAGAAAAUAUCGAUAUCUAGCUAGAUAAUUGCCAUCCCUAGAAGCAAAAUAAUGAUAUUUUUUCAUGUCCUUUAAUAUUAUGCCCCUAAUUAUUUUAUUAACUAAUCAAAAUAAUCCUAAUUAUUUUUGCAUGUAUUUAAACUUUUAAUACUUUUAAGCCCGAAUUUUCCAGCGCAAUCUUAUUAAAACAAAAUUUAUGGUUCAUAAUGAAUAAUAAAAAUGAUAAAAUAAAAUUUAAGGCACGGAUAAAAAAGAUUGGUCGUAUAUCAAGCCAAGCCCAAACUGACUUCUAACAUUUAAAAACCUUGUUUGGAUUAGGUGUGUGCUUUGCCAAGCCCUGUUCGGGCUUGAGUUGUUAAACUGCCAGUUAUAACCUUAAUUUGUAGGCCAGUGCUACAUUACGUUAAUCGUAACGUACGCCACACACAGCAACAGUAGCGAGUCCCACCAUGGGAACUGUUGUUGUGUGUGAAUGUACGUUAACGUAGUGGGAUCCUAAUUUGUAUAAUUUUGGGUGGAGGAAGGAAUAUAAUUGAAUUUUAGGGUUAAAAUUGUAAAUACAAGUAAAAGGUGUUUUAUAAGUAGCCUGGAGGGUGCCAAUAGCUCUACUUGUAUAAUUUUAGUUCCGAAGACAAAAAUAUGUUAACAUGAAACGAACGACUUUAUAUCAUACACUCAUGAUAGAUAGACAUUUGUAUUACCUAAUUUUUUUCCCCCCAUAAAUAUAUAUUUUACAGAGUGAAAGUUGAUCCUUACCUAAUAGUUGGACCAUUCAUAUGGGUUGCAUUGCUGGACAUGAUAUUCUUAGUGUACCUGGAAAAGUCAAUGGCCCCUAUCAAGAUAUAUUCUCAAUUGUACAUUUAUCUCUCCAAUUCAACCCACAACUUGUAAUGAAACCAAAAUCAUAACGACUUGUAAUGAAACCAAAAGGAAAUCAUCCAAGUAAGCAAAUGAUAUAUAUUUGAGAGAAGAAGAGAAACAUUUGAGAAGCAGUGAUUGUGGUAAGCAUCAUUAAACAUUACGCCUCCGCAAUUCCAUUUGUUCGCUUCCAGAGUCGCGUUUUCACCAUCCGUAGCCCUAACCUUAAUUCAUAUAAUUUUGGAGCCAAGACCAAAAUUUGUUAACAUAUAAUGAUCGAUAAUGGUGACGGAUACAUACAUGAUCGAUAGACAUGAUCCUUAUUCCUUACCCAAUAGUUCCGCGAUUUUACCAUUCAUAUGGGUUACAUUGUUGGACACGAUAAUUAUAAUGUAUCCAGCAAGAUUUUUGGAUUUUUCAUUUUGCAAGGGAACGUAACAAAAAGUACUAGAAAAAAUUAUAUAUGUCUUAUUUUUUAGUACUUCAAUUUUUUAUUUUAAUUUCUAUUUAUAUGAUUUAUUUAAGUAUAAUAAAUAUAAAUAAAGUGCAUUUAAAGGUAUGAGUAAUAUUAUAAAAUUAUACUGACAAGAUGGUAAUUGGUUAUUAUGAAAGUAAUAAAAUAAUAAAUAGUAUAUAUUAAAUUCAGUAGGGAGAUAUUGACAAUCUCCCAAUAGUAUAUGUAUAAUAUAUAUUUUUAGGAGUUCAAAAUGAACAACAUAUGUAUUAUUGUUAAUUAAAAUACAUCUAUGAAAUUAAUUAGCCCGCUAACUACACAUAUUUAAAAUUUUAAAUGGUUUCAAAAAAUUAAAUCCGUUGCGCAUCUUUUCAAACACAAUGCAAUUUUAAAAAAUUUAUACACAAUAAAUUGUAAAUCAUAAUAAAAAAUUAAAAAAAAAUUGUAAAACGUAAAAUUCGGUCUUAAAGUCUCAAAUAAAAAAGCAUGCCUAAGCUGAACCCAAGUUUUUGCCAUUUUUGUAGCUCUGCCUUAGGCCUUAAUUUGGAUAAUUUGGUGCCGGGUAAAAGCUUAUUUAGUCACUAUAUUUUAAGAUUAGUGUCCAUUUAGUCUCUGUAUUUUUAAAAAUGACUCGAAACAUCCCUGCCGUUAAAGUAUUGAUACCCCUACCGUAACUUUUUAUUUCUUUUGGUUUACUUUUACAAUACUACCCUUGUAUAAUAAUUUUUUUGUUUGGACAUUAAUAAAAAGAAAAUAAUUAAAUUACCAAUUUAACCCUAAAAAUAAAAUAUAUAUAUAUUAAUUUUUUUACAAGUACCAUUUGCACACUUUGUAGUUUGCAUACAAUUUUUGACAAUUAAAAAUUAAUAUAUUUUACCCUUUGGUGCCAGAACAUAAAGUUUGUAAUUUGAAACAAAAUAACAAGUGACCUUAUAUCAUGUUGCAUCCAGACACUUUCGAUCGACGUUGUAGCUAAACCUUUUUUUUUUUUUUUCAAAAUUUUUGCAAGUACAUAUUUUACAGAAGAAAGUAGAUCCAUACCUGCAAAAUGUCAACAGCUCCUAUCAUAUUCUCAAUUACACUAGAUAAAACACUUUUCUCUGUAAUUAUAUAUUUAGUUACAAAAAAUAAACUUGGAUGACUAAUUGCAAUUUUGUCGCUGAAAAGUGCCAAAUUAUUAUUUGUCCUCCACAUGAUUAUAUUUUAUGAUGAAUGAGCAAACGACUUCAUCCUCCAGAGAGAGUUACUAUGAGUUUACUAUAGUCACAAACACUUUUGCACAAAUUAUAUAUUCCAAACUAAGGUGGCAUAUGAUCAUUGGUUGAGUUAAAAAAUAUGGUAGGACCGCCUAAUUUUUUUUAUCAUUUUAAAGAGUCAAUUAAGUUUUUUUAUUUUUAAUUCCAUACCCCCCCCCCCAAAUUCAACUUUGAAUGAACAGCUAAAUAAAACUAUUUUAAAAUUAUUAAGUUAAGCACCCAUAGGGGCAAUCAAUUAUUUCUUGCUAUAUCAAUUUAUAGAACACUAUUUGUGCAAUUGUAUGUAGCACUGUAAUUAUUCUACCUUUAAUUGUAGAAAUAACUAAUGUGGGACUAGAUAAGAUCGUCACAAUAUAUUGUAAAAGGAUGAGAAUAUUUCUGUCUGGCAAUUAGUGUAAAGCCACCCUCAUUUCGAAAAAUAAAUAUAGAAAAUUCACAUUGAUUAAAAAUUUAUCUAAUUAAUUUUUUAUACUUAACUAAAUUUCAAUUUAACUAUUUUACCUAACAUAAAAUGAUUAAAUUGUACAAAAAAUGAUCUAAAAGUUUUAUUUGAAACUCAAUAAAUUUUUAAUACUCCUUACGUUAAAUAGCAUAAAUUUUACGGCUGAUAAAUUCCAUGCCGUAUCAUUUCAUAAAGAUAUUUUAUUAUUUUAAUUGAAGAAUAAUUGAUUUGAAAAUAUUUAAUUAUGGAUGAAGGAUAGGUUGCUCUUACCAAAAUUUAUUUUUUAAAAAAUUGACCGAACACCAAAAUUAUCGUUGAACUCUUUAAAAUUAUUUUUAAAUUUUCCAAAAGUAAUAUCAAAAAGACCUUAACUAUGGCUCCGUACUCAAGCGCACCUAGUCAUUAUGCUGAUUUGAUGCUCCAAGCCUAAGAUUUAAUGCCACUCUUCGGCAUAAUUGAACUCUAAUUAUUAGUUUCAAUAAAAUUAUUUUCCUUUUUUUUUUCCCCAAAACUAACUUUCUCAAAGAUCAAUAUACAGUCAUCAUCAUCACCAUUUUUGCUUCUCCAUCUUUCCAUCAUCAAAAUUAUCCUUCCAAUCGAAGAAGAUGAAGGAAAACACACUUCGGUAAGUUACCCAAUUAAAAAAAAAAAAAAAACCUAACGACUCAUCUAAAUAAUCAAGCUUAAAGAUAUCUCUAACAGAAGAUUUUCUCCCAAAAAAAAAACAAAAAUAGCGGAAAUUGAAGAAGAAAAAACACAGGCCAGGACAUUCUUAAGAAACUUGAAAGUUCGUGAAAGAAGAGCAAAAUGAGGCAUUUAAGCCACAGCUGAGGAAAAUUAGAAGAGUAACAUGUUGGACACGUCAUCUCCCGCCGCGUUGCCGUUGAUGAUGAAGAUGAUCCAACGAUUUGGCUUCUGGGGUGUGGGAAGAUGGAGUUGGGAGAACAGAGAGAAAUUUAAAACUAGUAUACGGUGUUUUUAUAUUCACGUGGUUCCCAUUAAAUAAAAGAAAUAAACGCUUUAUCACAUUUUCUUAAAUGUUUUUUUUGAUAACCCUUUAUCACGUAAUAUGUGCCACGAAUGAUAACUGCUUUGGGCCAGUAGGUUUGGGCUCUAGUCUCGUGCAGCCCUUCUUUGAUUCACUAUCCUCAACUAUGUAUUCAAGCCUUCAAGGGUACCCUUGGCUGCUCUGUUGAAGAGAUGUUAUUAUUGGCCUAAAAGUUGAAAUCAAUUUAAGAUGCUUAAGAAAACGGCUUCAAGAUUUCGUGAUACAGCCAACGACAAGUGUCCGUGACCAUGAGUAUUUUGCCAUAUUAGUACAUGACAAUGAUAGUACCCACGCAAAUCCACGCAAUGUAUAUAAUGAUAUCGCCAAUUGAGUUUGAAACAAACGUAGGGACCAAUGAGAUAGCAGAAAAAAUUCUAAAAAUAGCAACAAUUUCAAAAACUGUGAAGAAUUUGCUUGAUUAUAUUGAAACUUGUUAUCAGCUGCGAGUGUAAUGUAAUAGAAUAUUGUGGCCAGCAGAAAGCACAUAAGCUUACUCUGAGUUUUUUUUUUUUUUUUUAAUACUAUUAUACAGGACUGUUACUGAUAUUACAUCAUAUAUUAUAAUUAAUAUUUACAAACAGAUUAUAGAACUAGGACCUUCGUCGUGGCAUGUACUCCUCUGAAGCGCGGCCCAUAUUCUUUAAACCCUCCCUAAUAUUUAUAAUUAAUAUUUAUAAACAGAUUAUAGAACUGGGACCUUCGUCGUGGCAUGUCCUCCUCUGAAGCGUGGCCCAUAUUCUUUAAUCCCUCCCUAAUAUUCGAGAGGUGUCCAUUUCACUUACAUUUCGUGAGGAAUAGACUGGUUUUACUCAAUUAUUUGAUAAUUGAGGGAGAACUGAAAACUAACCCCUAUAAUACUUUUAUUGAGGUUCGAACCCUUGCUCUCAACAUUGUAAGUGCAAGGAUUCUCCCAUUGGACCAAAGGCCCAUUGGUUACUCUAUGAGUUUCUAUUAAGAGUUUAGUUGUGCCUUACCAUUAUGUUUAACGUCCCGUUGUUUCUUGAGUAUGAGGGACAUUCAAGUUAUUGAACUUAUUUGUUGUCGAGAUAUCAUAAUUAUUUUGUUAUGGCAUGUGCGCGUUAGCCAUGUUACAGCUUACUCUGGUUUAUUUCCUUGUAUUAUUGAAUUACGUAUUCUGUAGUCAUAUUUUGUAAUUUAUAUUGAUGAAAAGGUUAAAUUCAAUGAACAUUACUUACAAUCUUACUGUUAACUAACGAUUUAAGUAUAUAUUUGCCCCCAAUAUCUCGAACUUUUAGCAAUAGUGACACUGUUUGAUUAUGGGUUGACUUCAAUAUCUCGUACUUGUGGCGAUGGUGAAAUUACUCAUUAAAACCUCCAAGAUUCACAGCUUUGCUCGAUAUCGUUGACUCAAAAUAUGACUUUCAGUGAGGCAGUGGUCGAAUAGUUGAUUCAUUUUAACAAACACCUGCCUCAGUUCUGGUGUUAGAAGUUACAGAUUUAACAAUUGUUUCUUAAUUUAACAAUCGUUUUGACCUCAUCGCUUCUGAAAAACAUUGCACUCUGUUUGCCGAUACAGGCAUGGGGAUGGGGCUGUGAAAACAUUCAAGAACUGUUAAGAUAUUGAAAUCAAAUAUCUUCACAGAUGAGUAAUUGCAGUGGUUUUCAUGGAGAUGGAGAUUAUCAGUAGCAAAGGAGUUCAACUUUCUUACUGAUAUAAGGGUGAUUCGAGCUCUCUGUUAUUUAGGGGUGUAGAUGCAAUCUUUACAAAGCCGCCGGGUAUGUAAGUCCGACACUGAUCGGGCUUUGGUUUUAGUGUUUUAGGUGGGAAAAGGGUAUUAGAGGGGGUAUGACGUGGCAAACAAAUUUAAGCCUUAUGGAUGUUGACUCGCGUUGACUUUCUGGGUUUACAAGGCUGGUUGUUAGGCCAUAUUUGCUAGCUCAUAACUUGAGAUUCGCAGGGUUUUUGAGGAUAAGUGUACGAUUUCAUAGAAAGAUUGUAGCGUGAUAUUGUUUUCGAUAAAGAGAGAAAAUUACGAUGUUUCUGUAUCAAAUGUUAUCCUCGUUUCUUUUGUGUUCUUUUGAUCUGAUUUUGUUUCUUGUUUGAUUUUGCUUCUGUUUCUUGUUCAACAUUCAAUUGCUCUUCAGUUGGUGUACGUGAGAUCGAGUCGGUCGUAUCACGAUUGCUAUAACACUUACAAAACUUGGAAUAGCCAAACUUGAGUUGCAUCAUUCUUGUUUCAAUAAGUCAAUUUUAUAGCCUUUGAAACUUCUACAUAGCAACAAUUGGGUGAAAAAGUGAGGUGAAAUAGUGUUUCUUAUUCAUUAAAAUACAAUUUAAUUAAUCGUUGUUAGUGUGAGGGGAAAAAAAAAAAAAAACACAACUAUCAUAUACUCCUCAGCCAAAUGGUAAUUUUAUUUUGAUUGUUUUCUAUUUUGAAGUGGUUUAUUUUUAUUUUUACUUUGUACAUAUGUGAUAAAUCAUGAAAAAUGAAUACAUUAUCUUUUCAAAUAUUUGCUAAUAAAUCGGUGGGGAAAUGAAUAACAUUUUUUCUCAAAAUUAAUUCAUUCUCGUCACAACUCAUCAAAAUACUCAUGUGUUAAAUACUUAUGAAGAUGUAAAUUAUUAAUUUACUGAAAUAAUAGGGGAUUUUGAUUAAUUAUCUUCCCUAAAUCAAUGUAUCAAAUCAAAUGUGGCUUAAAAACAAACCCUUAAUAUAAGAUACAAAUUAACUACUUUAACAAUAUAUAAGAGUAAAAGGAAUUUGGAACUAUAUAUAAGAGAGAUAUGCACGUAAAUAAACAAUAUAUAACAGUAAAAGGAAUUUGGAAUCAUGCUUGGAAAAUUUUAAUUCCUCUACACCUAGCAGGCUAGCUAGCUAAAUUUUGAAGUAGUUGUUGGUUGAGUGCUCCAAAGGUUUGAACAAAAAAUUUAAUUCCAUAAUUGUUUGGAGCAUGCUUCAGGUAUAUUCCAAAAUUUCACAAUCUUCUUUUGAAGCCUCUUGUUAUAAGAAGAAGAACAAAAGCGCACAUAUUGAAACUCAAGUGUCCAAAUGGGUGUGGCAGUACUCCCAAGACAAAUGUUCUUGAGUUCUUUCUUUUCCUUGACCGCAUUGGCGUCCUUUAUCUCAAUGCUUUUCACACAUUUAUGAUUCAAAAGAAACAUACAAGAUGAAUGAGCUGAAGCAAGUAGUAUCUGUUAUGUUUAGUAGUGAGAUUUUGGUUUCUUGUGGACCAAGAAAUCUAUUGCUCUGUCCUUGCAGCUGAUAUCAAGUCUCUAUUUGAACAAGAAACUUUAUUUUGAUAUAUAUAUAAAGUAUCGUAAAUAUGGCAGGCUAUCUAUGAAAGCUUGUCAUUAACUUUGUUGUGACGACACAAUGAAGCCAUUUUCCACCAACAUUUGGAAUUGAUUAACAACAUCAUCUUCUGCAUUGGGCCGCGAGGAUCGCAAGUAAAAAUGUGUAACAUUAUCAAAACUAUAUUAUGGAAUGAACAUAAACUUCUAAUGAGAUCAAAUAUAUAGAGUAUACAUUUUGGUCCUAUUGAAAUCUGAAAUAUAAGUGGAAUCUCUCUGUUAAACUUCUUCAAUUAUAUCAUCGGCUGGCCUUUGCUGUUGUUCUGUGGAAUAGAUAUUGAUAGCUUGAAACAAUUCCAACAUGUCAUCGUAGAUCCGACGACAAGCAUUGAUGAACAUGCUGCCAUAUUGAUAGACAACAAUGAUAAUAGCUGCGCAACCUAAUGCAAUGUAGCAAAUUAUUUCAGCAACUGAGUGAGUGAAAAAUGCGGAGAUCAAUGACACCGUAGAAAGAGACCCACAAAUAACAGCAAUAAGGCCCCAAAAGUGUGAAUGAUUUGCUUGAUUUCGUUGGGCUACAAAUGCAAUACACUGGACGAUUAUAGCCACAAGAAACACAUACAAGCAUACUCUGUGAGUCUCCUUCAACGGCUGGGGCAGGCCUUGUACACUUGCACCCAGAACAGCAGCAAUGGUUGCAAUCAGAUAUCCAAAAACUUUUAGGUGCGGAAUCGUGGAAAAGAAAUUUUCAUUUCUGCCAAAAAAAUCAAUACACAUUCAUGGAGAGGUUAGCAGAAGUAGCAAUAAAGAGGAGAAGGGAGAUGUUAUAUGCUAAGGGUUAUUUUUCUGGGAUCAAAACUAGGGGAAUGAAAAAUUGUGAACUCUGCAAAUCCGUCAAAAUUUAUUUAUGCCUCGCAGAUUUUCCUCUGGAACAAUGGUGGCGAGCCGUGAUUGUUAAAAUCAGAAGCUUGUUUUGUGUUCUGUUGAGUGCGUUUUCUGCAAUUGAUCAUUUGUUGUGUUUAAUCUUGAUUAAUUUUUUGUGUUAUUUCUUGAUUAAAGGGUGUUCAUUUAUCAUCUAUCAAUCAUCCGGGUGUGUGUCCAAAUCUGAUAUUACUUCAUAUCAUGCUCUGAAGAAACAGAGCAGGAACAACAACAGCAACAUAAACGACAGCAGCAGCAGUAGCAACAACAAAGCGACAGCAAACGAGCCAAAAAAACCUCUUAUAUAUUACUGGGCUUAAAAUAACAUGAUUCAUGGGUAGCUCUGGAAAACAACUUAAAAACAGAGAUACUAAACAAACCAAAGUACAGAUGCACAGCAGCAGAAGCAAGCAGCGGCAUGCAACCCUCAUAUAUAUUAACAAACAAACCAAAGUACAAAUGCACAGCAGAAGGAUCAAGCACCAGCAUACAAACCUCGCAUAUAUUCAUCAUACUCUGCCAAAACAACUGAAAACAGACAUGCUUAAACAAGCCAAAGUUUAAAAAAAAAAAAAAAAACUGCAAUGAAAGUUUACAUGCUGACAAUUACCUUGAAGGAUUAACAUGCUGUUGAUGCAUCAUAUUGAUUUCUAACGAACCUAUUCAGCUCUUGAACUCCGAUGUUGCUUUUUUCCCACUGUUUUUUUCCGUUGAAAUGAACAGAGAAAUCUAUACAAUGUGAUGUUGGCCCUGUGAUGUUGGCAAGCGCCGAGGAUCUGAAAAAGUUGGGUUGGGUUAAUUACACUGCAGUAUCCGUAUUUAUUUUAAAAUAAAAAAACAUCAGAGAUUUCUAAAUUUUGAUUCAUUAGUCCUACUUGUUUUAAUCUUUUCAACUUAGAUUAAAGGGUGGGUUUAUUUGAAUUCAUGAAAAUACUCUCUACACCAACAGCUAUUUAUUUAUUAAAACCAUAAACAUUUUACCAUAAACACCUUAUUAAAUGUCAAAUAUAUCCUUAUUAGCUAAUUUUUAAUUUUUACUAAAUAAAUUUAUUAAAAUUAUUUACAUGUCAACUAGUAUCAGUUUCAUAUCUCUAGCAAUUAGCAAUUGAAUUCUAUCACUGACCCAAAGUUAUUAAAGAAGGUAUGGGAAAAUUAUUCCUAGCUAAUCGUGAUUGCGAGUACAAAAAGGCUUUACUUCUAAAUCUUAAGCAUUCCUUGACUCUCACUAUCAACAUGUAUAUAGCUGCUAAGCUGAUUUUAUUUACCAAAUGCAAAAUAGAAAACAUAUAUACCAAGUUAUUGUCUCAUUUGUCUUUUGUCCCGUCGGUAGUUUAUUAACUUAUCAUUAUACAAAAAAACUUAAUAAAAAUAUAGGCCAUCAUGAAUAAUUAUAAGGAUAUUGUUUAUCAAGCUUCUAACAACAAGAAUCAAGGACUGGCAAGUUCUUAUUAUUAUCUUUUUUUUCCUCCUUCUAAUACUAUUUUAAAGAGUUAACAUUUUCUAUAUAUUAUUGGUAAAUUAAUUAUUUUUAUUAAAUAUUGAAAUUAUUAAUUUUAUAUCAGAUAAGUAUUAUGAAAAAAAUAAAAUAUCAACUACAUAUUAAGAACAUAAAAUUAAAUUAAUAUUCAUAUUUGUUAUAAAUUAGAGUUUGUUAAUAAUACAUAAUUUUUUACUUUAAAUUAAAUUAACCAAUUAAUAAUAAAAUGCAUUAAUUUUAUUAUGUUAAAUCAUAUGUGUUAAUAAGUCAUUUUGACGAUAUUUAAGCAUAAAAAAUUUAAAAUAAUAUGAAUUUAUGUAUCAAAAUUUUGAAAAUUUUCGCUUUUAUUAUUUUACGGCAAAAUCAGGGACUAUAAUGAAUAUUAUUUUCUUCUUCUUUUUUUAGUCUAUGCAAAAGAAGUACCCUCGCAUCAAUAAAACAAUAUUUGAGACGUGAGCUUCUUCUUCUUGUUUAUACAUAUGACAAAUAGAGCGGCUAAGAAUUACAAGCCGCGUCACAAUUUGUUGACUUACAAGCCGCGUCACUAUUUACUUAUCAAAUCUUGUUCAAUAAUCUGGUUGCCUCGUGUAGUCUAAAUAAUCUCAUUUUCUAUUGUUUGAUUUCUCACUUCACAUCCAACCACAUCUAACGGCUGAUGCUGCAGUCUGUAGCAUACAGAUUCUAUAAUUACCUUACCCCUUAAAUUAAACUAACAUUUUAUUUUUCCCUUUUCACAUUAUAUUUAUUUAGGGUCAUUACAUGGUUAAUAUCACUUAAAGGGUCAUGUUUAGCUAUCAGCGCUGGCUAUUUAGUCCAAAUAUUAAUCCAAAAUUAAUAAUCCUCUUUUCAAUGUGAGUUUAAGAUAACAUGGUGUUUAUCUAUCUUUCCCUUUUUUAUUUACUUUAGAAUUUAUUAUUUAUUAAAUUUAAAAAAUUAAUUGCCUAAUUUAUUUAAACUAGAAUUUUGUAUUAUACUAAAUACCAAAACUUACUCAUUAACCUAUUUUAACAUGUAUUUUAUUUAAGAUUAAUAUCAAAAUUUUAAUUCAAUAAUUUAUUUACAAUAGUACUUAAUAUAAAGAUCAGAUAUCAAAAACUUCUAUUCAAUAAUAUAUUUAAAUCGGUAUUGAAUAUUAAACAUAAGAAUUAUUCAAUUAUUAAUUAACAAUAAGAUUGUAUAUAAAUAUCAAAUUCAACAUUUAGGAGUAUAAUUUAAAGAUAAUUAUACUACUAUAUGUAAAUAGUGGUUUUAACUUUAUUAAAUUAACACAUAACUUUAUUAAAUUAAACUAUAUCAUAAAUUAUAGUUAGUUAAUACAUAAUUUUACUAUAAAUUAAAUUAACUAAAAUAAGAAAUGUAUUAAUAUGAUCAAUAUAUUAAAUCACAUGUAUGAAUAAGUCAUUUUGAUGGUAAAAUAUAUAUUUACAUGUAAAAAAUUUAAAAUAAUAUAAAUUUAUAUAUCAAAAUUUUGAAAUGUUUGACUCUUUGUUAACCAAAAUCAGGGACUAUAAUGUCAAUAACUCUUUGUCAAAUAUGCAGAAAGAUGGAGUUGGAAAUUUUUUUCCACAAGGAAAGUGAUUCUUUGUUUGUUUGGAUUCUUGAGAUGUGUUUGUGUUAAUGCUGCUUCAGUCAACGUUGAUUUUUAUUCUUCUCCUUUUCUUCUUUACCCUACACGUACGUAACAUCAACUCAAAAUGAAUGGGAUUAUUUACCCUCUUUUUAGUAUGAGUUUAGAAUAAAAUCCUCUUUAGCUGUCUUUCACUUUUUAUAUAAUAUAAUAUUUAUUAUAAAUUAGAUUUAACAAAUUAAUUGCCUAUUUUUUUUAAAUCACAAUUUUAUUUUUAUAGUAAAUAUCAAAAUUUAUUCAUUAACUUAUUUUAACACGAAUUUUAUUUGAGAUUAAUAUCAAAAUUUUAAUUCAACAAUUUAUUUACACUAGUAUUUAAUAUAAGAUCAAAUUUCAAAAAUUUUCAUUCAAUAAUAUAUUUAAACCAAUAUUGAGUAUUAAAAAUAAAACUUAUUCAAUUAUUAAUUUACAAUAAUAUUGAAUAUUAUAUAUCAAAUUCAACAUUUAAUAGUAUAAUAUAAAGAUAAUUACUCUACUGUAUGUAAAUAAUUAUUUGAAUUUUUAUUUAAUUAAGUUUAAUAUAAUCAUGUCCGGCAUUUAUAACAAACAAAGGACAAUAUUAUUUAUUAUUCAAUCAAGUAUAAUCUAAUCCUAAAAAUUAAUAAAGUCCAUUCAUAAUUUUCAUUUCUAUAUUUGAUCACUAUUUAUAUUAUUAAUCUAAUAGUUAUAGAAAUAAUGAAAAGAGAAGCGAUUUUUAAGUAAUUCUUUAAAAUAUGAGAAAUAACUAGAUAAAUCCUUUGGUCUUUAUUUAUUUUUCUCCUAAUAAUGGAAAAUCUCGUUCCAGCUCGAUGGAGGGUUUUAUGUUUCGCUACUAGCAAACUCAAAGCUGAAUUAAUACUAAUAGCCGUCAGCUGAAUAGUUCUUCUUUGUUCAGCUUAACAUCCCAUCUCACCACCACUUACCACCUUUCAGAGUUCUUUCAGAGUAAUUUAUAUUUAUGAUUUGUAAUAGCCGUCAGCUGAAUAGUUCUUCUUACAACAAGUAAAUGCUGUAAAAUUAAACAAUUUUUUACAUCAAUAAGUCAAUAACCCUUUGUCAGCAAACUUUGAAACAAAUGCGAACAAAUUUGGGCCAGCAGGUUUGGGAGGACUGCAACGUGUGAAUGAAGAGUCGCUCUGAAAACAACCGAAAAGAUAAAAAUAUUUUUGUUACAUAUUCAAAUUAUUGAUUGUAUGUUAGAUGAGUAUUAUGCAACAAAAAAAAAUAUUAACUACGUAUUCAAUUCAUAUUCACAUUUAUCAUAAAUUAUAGUUAGUCAAUAAUAAAUUAUUUUACUAUAAAUUAAAUUAACUAAGAUAAGAAAAUGUAUUUAAUAUGAAUAUAUUAAAUCAUAUUUGUGAACAAGUCAUAUUGAAUUUUUUAUGGUAAUAAAUAUAUUUAAGUGUCAAAAAUUUAAGAAUAUGAAUUUAUGUAUCAAAAUUUUGAGUCCUUUUCAACACCCCCCAAACAACAACCCAAAUAUAUAUAUAUAUCAGGAAUUAUAAUGUUAAUAGCACAAAUAUAGCAAUCCAGAUUCGGUGGGUCUUUUAGUACUGGGGGGACUUUUAUGCCAUCUUCUCCAGUUGCACAAAUAAGUAAAUGUUGUAAAAUUUUCGCUGGGCACGUUCGUGGAACCAAAAAAGUAAAAAAAAAAGGAACAAAAAGGAAGGCUCUAAUUAAAUUAAACAAUUUUUUACAUCAACAAGUCAACAAGUCUUUGUCAGCAAAUUAUGAAACAAAAGCUAGCUAAUUUGGGCCAGCACGUUUGGGAGGACUGCAACGUGUGAAUAAAGACUUGUUCUGAAAAACAACUCAAAACAUAAAUAUAUUUAUAUUACAUAUUCAAAUUAUUGAUUGUAUGUUAGAUGAGUAUUAUGCAACAAAAAAAAUUAACUACAUAUUAAAUUCAUAUUCACAUUUAUCAUAAAUUAUAGUUAGUUAAGAAUACAUUAUUUUACUAUAAAUUAAGUUAACUAAGAUAAGAAAAUGUAUUUAAUAUGAAUAUAUUAAAUCAUAUUUGUGAAUAAGUUAUUGAAAUUUUUAUGGUAAUAAAUAUAUUUAGUGUCAAAAAUUUAAAAUAAUAUGAAUUUAUGUAUCAAAAUUUUGAGUCUUUUUCACCACCCCACCCCACCCCAAAAAAACAACACAAAAAAAAAAAAAAAAAAAAAUUCAGGGAUUAUGAUGUUAAUAGCACAAAUAUAGCAAAUCAGAUUCGGUGGGUUUGGCUUGUCGUCUUUUAGUACUUGGGGGCUGAGUUGGGGGCGCCUCUAUGUCCCCCCUAUUUCGAUGAAUUUCCUUUUCUUUUUUUUUUUAAUUUAACUUAGUGGUCAAUUUUUUUACACGGUUACUUAACAAAAAUGCCACAGCCCACAAAUAAUGGGAUUUUUAAUUUAACAUUAGUGAUCAGAUGACGACUGACGAAAAGAUUAAAGUCACCGGAGGAAUAAUGGGAUUAUUCAUCCUCUUGUUAAUAUGAGUUUAGGAUAAAAUCGUCUUUACUGGUCGUUCCCAUUUUAUUUAAUCUAAUAUUUAUACUAAAUUAAAUUUAAAAAAUUAAUUGCCUAAUUUAUUUAAACUAAAAUUUUAUAUUAUAUAUUAAAUAUCAAAAUUUAUUCGUUAACUUAUUUUAACAUGUAUUUAAUUUAAGAUUAAUAUCAAAAUCUUAAUUCAAUAAUUUAUUUACUUUAGUAUUUAAUAUAAAGAUCAAUUAUGAAAUUUUUUUAUUCAAUAAUAUAUUUAAAUCCAUAUAGAUAUUAAACAUAGAAAUUAUUCGGUUAUUAAUUUACAACAACAAAAAUUAUUCGAUUAUUAAUUUACAAUGACAUUAAAUAUUAAAUUCAACAAUUAGUAGCAUAAUUUAAAGACAAUUAUACUAUAUAAAUGAUUUUUUUAGGUUAAUAUAGUUAUGUCUAAUAUUAUAAUAGACAAAAGAUCAUUUUAUUUAUUAUUCAAUCUAGUCCAAUCUAAUCCAAAAAUUUAAUGAAGUCCAAUCAUAUUUUCUAAACAUAAUCUAAGUCUCAUCAUUUCUAUGUUUGAUUAUUAUAUUAUGUUAUAUUUUACUCCACAAAAAAAUACUUUAUGACGACUUUUCUUAUUAAGAGACAAGUGGUUUUGACAUGUGAAAAUCCUUUCGGAACAACUCAGCAAUAGCAAAUAAAUACAAAGAAACGAAAUUAGGAUGACUGAAAUGAACGGAAACAUGUCUGUGACUACGAUAGUUAAAACGAACAUUCAUACAUAGGACAAAACAAAACGGGGGGCACUAACUAAAUUAAAUAGUACAUCAAUAAGUUAAAGCCCUUUAUUUGGGCCAGCAAGUUUGGGCUCUACUCUCAAGUCUUGAUGCAGCCUUUCUAUUUGGGCCCGACACUACACUCUUAGGUCAACCUAACGAUCAAGAAUGAUCCAACAUGCAUGUGCUAUUACCUGAGUUGGUAAAACGACAACAAAAUCAUUUUGAACACUUUGAAAGAAACCGACAGGCAGUUUAUUCCCCGUUGCACUAGUCCCCCUAGGCCCUGGCUGCUCUGUGCAAGAGAUGUUAUUAUCAGCCUGAAACCAAAUCUAUGAUGUCAAAUAAAAAUUGCUUCAAGAUUUUGUGAUAAAGCCAAUGGCAAGCUUUCAUAAACAAUCUGCCAUAUUGAUAUACAACAAUGAUAAUAGCAGCGCAAAUCCAUGUAAGGUAUAAAAAUGAUAUCACCAAUUGAGUGUAAUCAGCUACAAGUACAAUGCAGUAGAAGAUUGUGGCCAUAAAAAAUGCACACAAGCUUACUCUAUGAGUUUCCAACAAUGGCUUAAUUUUCCCUUACACAUUUGGGCAACCACAAUAGCAGUAAGGAUCGGAAAUAAAAUUGUCAUUUCUGCAAAACUAUCAAAAUUUUAUAUAUGAAAAAAUUAGUAUUUUCAUGAUUCUACUUGCUAUACAUGUCCCUUUGGAGGUAGUUCAAUUGAUUGUUAUUGGACUUUACGGUUAUCCAAGUUCAAAUAAAAAUAAGAGGUAAGAGUUAGUAUUUCAACGGUAAGGUACACUCAAAAUUUUAAAAUAUUUGUCACUACGCGCUACCUUAGCAUAUAAGUAUAAACAAGGUUAUGAGAAAGUAUGCUCCUAAUUUUAUAAUUGCAUGUGUAUCUUAAAGCGUCCCAUGCUUAAGCACAAAAUGCUACAAUAUCCACAAUUCACUACAAAUAGGAUCCUGUGUGACCUAAAUAAAAUUCUACAAUUAUUAAAUAUAUAAAAAAUCCACACUAUCACUUGAUGCAAGCUAGUUACAACAAAACGGUGCCACUAUCACAUCAUCAUCAUCAUAAUAAUAAUUAAAAAAAUCAAAAAAAUUAAUUUAUAAGAGAAUAUUAAUUUUUUAUUUACGUACAUGGCUAAAUAAAUUUUAUAUAGUUAACUUAUUCGAUAAAAUUCUAUCAAUUCUUACUAAACAUCUAAAAAUUGAUGUCCUUUUCUACUGUUGAGGUGUAAUAAAAAAUAAUAAAAGAAUAAAUAGAUAUAUCAUUUAUACAUGUCCACGUGGCAAGUAGAUUUAAUUCUAUGAUAAAAAUUAUGUCCUGAAGCACUUCAAUUAUCAUUUUAUGACAGAGUCCCUUCACUAAAUUCACUAAGUUUUGUCAAUCAUAAUCGUAAUUUUCAAACCUCAAGCUUGUAUCUAUUUGUAUUUGUCAAAAAAAAUUAAUGUACGUGAAUCCGUCACAAGACUUCGUCAAUGCCAAACUUCUAUUAUAAUAUUUAAAGAUUAAUCAAGAUUGAGUGUUAACUGAAAAGGAAGCAUAAGCAAUUACUUAUUACCCUUUAGAUUUUCUUUGCAACUGUUUGCGAUUCAUGCACGUGCGGGGGAUCUGAAAAGCAUUUAAAAUAACAUUUGUUUGACAUCAGCAUCAGCCGUCAGCAGGUGCGUGAAUCUCUGUACGGCUCUGUUGUUGUCCAUUCCAACAUUUCUCCAUCAUUUAAUAAUCAUUAAAUAAUAAUACCAAAAGGAGUCAAAUGUCUCAAUGACAGAGCAGUGCUGGCGAAAGCAACCGCCCGCACGCGUUAGUCCUGAGGGAGACAUGUUCCCCUCUUUUGUUACCCCUAUUUUUGUGAUUUAUUAAAAGGCCCUUAUACUUUAUGUUAUAUUAAUGUUUUACAAUUAUUUUUGUAUUUAAAUUAAUUGUAAUAUGCUUUUUUGUUUAACAUAACAAGUAAGAUUUUCGAAAAAUAUUUUUUAUUCAAAAUUUUAUUUUUAUUCAGAUUCAAGAAAAUAAGUGCCAUUAUUAAUUAAAAAAAAUUGCUCUGGGACUUUAUCAGAAAAAAAGGACAAAAAAGAGUAGCUUUAGGCCUGCUCUCCUCUGUAAUUAUUAUCAACUCUCGUUUAUAAAUAAAUACAAGACAUAUAUACCUUAGAUAAGUCAAUGAUUCGUUCUCAGCUACUCAUAGAUUUUGGUCCCACUUCAUUGAAUAUUAAUCAACUCUUCAAAGGCUCUAAUCUUAUUAUGGAAUUAUUCAAUGUUAGAUUGGAAAUCUAAGUGAAAGCAAACUUCUAUCUUACCGCAUGAUGCGGCGUGACUUCAUGGGCGAACCUAGUCGCCUAGCAUAGGCCUCGGAGGGGCUUCGGUCCCUUCUAUGCUUUAAAAUUUAUUUGAAUAUAUUAUGUUUGGUUUGUUUGAAAAUUUAAAACUCCUUCUAGAACUACAAUUUUUUUUAAAAAAAUAUGUUAUAUGUUUCGUCCAUUUCUUAUAUGUGUUCUGGACUUGAAAGUAGUGUCCAAUUCAUAAUCUAAUUAAUUGACAUAAUUGUCAAUUCCAUAGUUUUAAAAUUUCAAAAAUAUCAAGUAAAAGUCACCCGUUUUUAGCUUCUUAAUUGGCCAACCGAUUUUAGCACCCUUUCAAAAACAAAAUUUGGACGGUCUCCUUCUCACAUUCAGAUCAGAAAAAAAAAAAAAAACUAUAAAGGUUGUCUUAUGUGAAUUAAAUAGUUUUAGUUGAGUUGGAGUUAUUUGAUCAAUUAGAUCUCUUACCAUUUGUGGUAAGUUUUUUAUGUUUGCCUGAAAUAAUUAUAUUAAUUUAAGUCAUUACUUGAAAAUCACUAAGAACAAUCUUCAAAACAUCAAAUUGUUGAUUAAGUUGAUAAUGAAGUUAUUAUAAUAUGUAACUUUCAAAAAACUAAGAAUGAGUCGAGGACAAUCGUAAAUAUUUUAAAAAUCAUUAAUUCAAUGAAGUUUAAUAAUUUGAUAGUUAUUAUUUUUGGUUGAUUUUUUUUCAAUUGUAUUGUAUUAAGCCCCUCCUAGAUAAAAUUUUUGGGCCUGCCACUGUGUCACUUAGAAGACCUUGCUCAAAGUAUUUGAACCACCAAACAAAUAUCUCUGCUCUGCUGUCACUUUUGUAUUCAUUAGUUAGGACUAGCUCUAGAGUAUUGGGGUCUUAGAUGAUUUUUUUAUAUAAGGUCUCUUUACAUAUUCAGCAGCUUCAAUAUUCAAAGAAAUAUAAAAGAGUUUCAAAAUUCAAUCAAGUUUUAACUAUAUUUUGAAUAUCAACAAUCAACAAACUAUUUUAGAGUAAGAAAUUGUAAAAAGAAAAAUAGUUAAAACGAUAUCUUUUUAUUUUCUUUAAAACUAUUAUUUUAGCAAAUUAUUUCUUUUACUUAAAAAAUGAACCAGGAAAUGUAAUAACUUUCUUUAUAGAGAAGAGCACAAGAAAUUUAUAGAUAAAGAAUUUAAUCUUUUUCUUAAAAAAAUAACAAUGAAUUAAAGGUUAGAAAAUAAUAUUAAUUAGAAAUCUUUAACAUCAAGAUUAUCAAAUAUAGAAUUUGCAUACAAAUUCUUAAUUGUAAGAUAAUUAUUAAUUAAAGAGAGGCCUAAAAAAUAGGCUUUUGUAUUAUAAAUAAACUUAAAAAAAUCUAUUAAUUUGAACAUAUCAAAGAAAUACAAAAAUAAUCAUAAUAAUAAUUUUCCUAACAAAUGGGAGAUAGGUGACCAUAAUAAGGUUUUCUUAAUAUAUUGAACUCUAAGCCACCAUCUAAUUUACUUAUUCACUUGUUGUCCAGAUCAGCUAUUUCUUUGCAGUCAUUCUCUGUACUCAAAGAGAGCAAACCCACUUGUUGUCCUCAUUCUGCACAGCGUCUGCUUCUGCAUAGCCCUCGCAGCUGACAUACUGGAUCUUUCUCUUCCACAAAUUCUCAGCAGUUGGCAACAGGUUCUUUGCUGAUAUAUAAAUAUAAAAGAAACCAAAAUGGGUCAGUGAUGUCCUAAUCGUAGCCCACAUGUUCAUUUUUUUUUUUUUUUUCUCUUUUUCCGUUCUUGUCAAAUAUUGAGGAAUGAAGAAGUGGAGUGCCGCCAUUAAAUCAUUAUUGGACCACAGCAUGCGCGUACGUGACUGAAAUAAGUUAUUGAUAUUUCAAAUAACUUUGUACCUUUCCAAAAAAAAAAAAAUUAUUAGUUGACUCGUCAUCACACUGGCAGUCGUCGCGGCUCUGUUGGGGAGUCUUGGUCGGUAUCUUGAAAGAGAUGGCUGAUGUGAAGGGAAAAUUUAUUCAAAAGACAAGAAUUCAAGGCCCAUCUGCCGCAACGAUAAACGACAACGACAAAAGCUGCAAAAGUCCAUGUAAUGUAUGUAAUGAUGAGGCCAAUCUUGACUGGAAGUAACGCGGAGAUCAACGAGACUGAAACUAAAGAGCCAGAGACAACUGCUGCGAAUUCGGAGCAACUUAUUUCUCCUGUGCAACAGAAGACGACUGCGGCCAGCAGUGUAGACCACAUAUUUGCAGCGUAUGUUUCGAACAAGGGGUUUUUUGUGCCUUGUACGUACACUCCCACAAUGCCAAUGAGAACCAGAAUGAGUUUCUCAAAAGUUUUACGAAACUCCAUGAUCAACGAAAGUAAAUUUAGUUCACCUUGGCUUCGAACUCGAUCUGUAAACUCGAUAUCACAGUAAUGAAGAAAAAAUGAACAAUAGUUAAGCAAUGCAGUCAUAUGAACAAAGGACGCUUGUCAAUAUAACUUUAAAAGGCAAGGAACAAUCAAAAUGAGUAGGGGAUCCAAAUCCAUCAUACAGAUGCUCAGUCACCUUCUUGCUUCUGUUAAUUCAUGUUUUCCUGGACUCGGCGACUCAACUCACUAGAGUUAUCCUCCCAACUCUUUAACCCCAAAACAACAAAAUGAGUUUCUCAAAAUUUUUAGGAAACUCCAUAAUAGACGAAAGUAAAUUUGACUCAACGCUCACUGAGAACCCAAUGGAAAAAUAAUAAUGAAUUAUAUGCAAAGGAAGAAGAAUAACUAAGAAACUGAGCUUUGAAGCAAAAACUAAAUAUCUAAGAAUGGAAAAAUAAAGCCAUGGAUUUCUUUUUUCUAUUGACUCUGGGCGGACGUAGCUUCCUCGAAAUACUGCAUCUUCCUAACAAAAAUGCAGAAGUGAGCGUAUCCCCUUAUAUCUCCUAUCUCGACCUUUUUAAGCCAACCUCAUUUUCCACCUGGAACUUGUCAAAGAUAACCCUACAGAAAAAAAGAGAAAAUUAAUAAGUUUUUAUUUGCGGUAAACCCAUCCCACCCAUCAAGAGUUUGGAAAUUAUUUACUGAUUUACUCCAUCAAGAAUUUAUUUACUCCCAUGAAGAAUUAGGAAAUUAUUUUUCCUGAAUUCUUUGUACAGUGAGCCGCAUCACAAUCUAGAAGGAAUUUAGGACAAGGGAGAUGGUAAAGGUGACUUUUUCUUUUGUUUUAUAUUUUUAAUGCCAAUUGUACCACUAAGGAAAGGAUUACAGUGGCCUGGUUUAUAUGUGGACAUACAUACAUACAUUGGUUUAUACGUGGACAUACAAACAUACACAUAAAUAUACAUACAUAGACACACACACAUAUAUAUAUAUAUAGUGUGUAUAUAUAAUAGUUUUCUAAUUCAGAAUUUUAAAAUACGGAAAAAUUAAGAAAAAUUUUAAAAUCGCACGGUUUUAAAAACUUAAAACUCCUGGAUUGGAAUAUAUAUAUAUAUAUAUAUAUAUAUAUAUAUAUAUAUAUAUAUAUAUGAGAAUUGAGACGUAGAAGAGAGAAGUACAGAGGGAGAGUGAAGUGCGUGACUUCUUUUACGGGUCAUUUACUGUGUAUUGUCUUCUCUGUUCAACACUCGCCGGGUGAGUCAACUCGAUAUGUAAACUUGAUAUCACUGUAAUGAAGAAAACUGAACAAUAGUUAAGCAAAGCAGUCAUACGAACGAAGGACACAUGUCAAUAUAUCUUCCAAAGAAUAUGACAUGAACACUGCUUUUUUUUUUUUUGUGGCUCACUUCGCUUUCAUAAUAUUUUAAUUAGAUAAAUGGAUUUUUGCUAAGAAAAUAAAAUAGUAUGGGUUUAGUUGGAUUAUUGUAGUAGAGCCAUAUGUCACGUAGGACCAAUUAAGUCUUAUCAAAGACUUGAGAGAGUGUUUGGUUAGUAAGAAAAUGCAAGAAAUAGAGAAAAAAUGAAGAAUCUAGGGACAGUUGAUUUGAGUGAAAUGUAAUGGCUGAAUUAUCAUAAGUGAUAAGUCAUUAGUCAUAUGAGUUAAAUAAUGAAAUGCAUGAGACUCAAAGUUUGGAACCAUCAAGCUAAUCAAGAUAUCAUUCAAUAGGCAAGCUGAAACAAUCAAACCCUAACUAAAGAAGCUUUAAAGCUAAGCCAAUAGAGAAAUUUAAGGAUGAGCACUUUUGAUGGACUUCUAACAAGAUACAAAUUUCAGGUAAAAAAGAGAGGAUAUUUAUAAAAUUGUAUUAGAAAUUAAAUGAUGAAAUAUUUAUGAGGGCUUUUUUUUUUUAAAUUAUAAUUUUUAGUGUUCUAAUGGGCCUCUUAGAAAAGAAUGCUUAUGCGUUUUUUGAGGGAGUGUGAGUGACUAGAAAGAACCACUCGUGAUAAGUUAAAUAUAACGAGACAAAAAUUGAGAUUUUAUUGCGUUCAGUCAAUGCUAAUAAUGUCUUUUAAUUUGAAGGGAGAGUGCACCCCAGACUUACAAAAACAUCGAGGCCAAAACUUUCUAUCCUCCACAAUCUUUAGUCAGUGUCUAGAGCUAGAACUAGUCAACUCAAAAGUAAAUUAAUAAUUUAAAAAAAGAAAUUUACUUAAAUCAUUUUCUUUUCUUUAAUCAUUUUCUUUUCUUUUUUUUUAACUUAGUAAAGCUACGUAUAUGGUUGAUGUUCAAAAUAAUUUGAAGAAGAAGAAGAAGCUUCCUAACUAACUUAUAAUCACAUCAUAAACACCAAGAAAGAAUAAAUAAACUUAAGGGAUUUUCUUUUCUUGUUAAUUAUUUAAACUUUAUCAGCUGCAUAUCUAAUAAAGUUAGUAAAAAUUAAACUUUAUUAGCUGCAUAUCUAAUAAAGUUAGUAAAAAAAAAAACUUUAUUUAAACUUUUAACCAAAAUGAAUGAAUAUAUAUAUAUACACACACAUACAUACGUACAUACAUAUAUAUGUAUGUAUGUAUAUAUGUAUGUAUGUAUGUAUGUAUACCUCUAAGAGUGGGAGAGACAGAGAGUGCAUAAUUCUCCAUUUGUAAAGAGUAAGAAGAGGAAUGG
rnacentral:lncRNA from 1 species